UCAUAUGCUAAUAUAUUAUUAUAUUUCAUUGUUCAAAAUGUGAAAAACCUGCUUAUUCUUCAGUCAAACACAUCAACCAUAUUUUAAAUGAUCUUACAGCUGCUUGUGGGGCUUUAAAUGUCACUAAACACAAUUAAACACUGUAAAUAUCAUCAUUUACCUCUAAAGUCUCCUCAUACUGUAUUGAGCACUCUACACCAAAUCUGGCCAAUCAGAUGCUUUCUACAGAAAGUCCCUCCCCCAACAUACACGCGACAGAGCAGCAGCACAACAAACACACUUUCUGGACUCUCUACUGGAAAUAUGAGCUCAUAAAUACCUUUACUGGAGCUGUGAAUCCGCCUGGAUGUGGAGGAGUGUGUGGAGGAGCGUCAGAAAGAGGAAAGAUGUGCAGCAGAAACACAACAGACACACGUGUGUAUCUUCACUGCUGCAGAGGAGGAGAGAGAGCAAUGCCUGAACACAAACACUACAGCAACAUCACUACAAACAAACCCACCGAAACAAAGUCACUUACAGGAUCAGUGACGUGUUGUGGACUGUAAGACUGUUGAACAGAAGCAGAGACGUGUGGACAGACACUGACUGUACUGAUGAUGAUCAUCUGCUGCUGCACAGGCUGUAAAGUAUAACCCCUGCUGGACACGGCUCCGGAAGCUCCAGGGGGAGACCGAACUGGUAUCCCCCCUUCUUCAGGCGCGCCUCACACUCACUCACCAUUCACACAUAUCGCAGAGUUCUGGCUGGGACCGAUACCAGCAACCCCUGAAGCCGUGGGGCAGCGCUCUUACCACAGAGCCACAGAUCUCCUGUUUGAACACCUGCUGGAACUGAUGUUUGACUGCUGACCUGUGUGUGAGCUGAUUCAAUAAAACAAGAUACAAGUCAGAUCUGAA